AAAGCUGACAUAAAAUGGUUUGCUAAGCUAUUAAUUGAAGCCUACUAACCGACACUUUCAGAAGACUUCGUUCCAGUUUUUUCAGUUUCCCUGUAGGUAAUCCAGACAGGCUGGGUGCUGGAGAGGGCUCUGGACUCCUAACUUCAAUUCUCGUCUGUGCAGUCGACACUCAGAAGCAUCACUUCAGCACUGAUUCCAUGAUCUGGAACAUUUUGAAAUCCUA